ensembl:lncRNA
GUGUUUCAAACCUUUCUAGGACCUCUAGGUGUUUCAAACCUCUCCUCUAGGUGUUCCAAACCUCUCCUCUAGGACCUCUUGUUGCAGCCCUGACCUAGCACACUUGAUUCAAAUAGUCAAGGGCUUGAUGAUUGGUUGACAAGUUGAAUCAGGUGUUCUAGCUCUGGAAUAGUUCAAAUACAUGGAACGGCUGGAGAACCCAGAGGAGAGGUUUGAGAACGGCUGGAGAACCCAGAGGAGAGGUUUGAGAAUGGCUGGAGAACCCAGAGGAGAGGUUUGAGAACGGCUGGAGAACCCAGAGGAGAGGUUUGAGAACGGCUGGAGAACCCAGAGGAGUGGUUUGAGAACGGCUGGAGAACCCAGAGGAGAGGUUUGAGAACGGCUGGAGGUCCCAGAGGAGAGGUUUGUGAAUGGCUGGAGGUCCCAGAGGAGAGGUUUGUGAAUGGCUGGAGGUCCCGGGGGAGAGGUUUGAGAACGGCUGGAGGUCUCGGAGGAGAGUUUUGGAACGGCUGGAGAACCCGGAGGAGAGGUUUGGAAAAGGCUGAGCUAUAUGUUUGCCAAACAACUUUACAUGUCUGUUUCACACACAGGAAGGUAUUGCAGUUGAAUCACAAUUCAUGUUGAUUAAAACAAAU